UCCUCUAUGACUAGAUGGAUUUGUGGCUU
rnacentral:piRNA from 1 species